UCCCAGGUGGCUCAGUGGUAAAGAAUCUGCCUGCCGAGCAGGAGAUGUAGGUUCAAUCCCUGAUCUGGAAA
rnacentral:tRNA from 1 species